rnacentral:lncRNA from 1 species
CCCUCUCCUCCCCCACCCACGCACCUGGGGCAGGAAAUCAGCUGGUGGCAACAGAGCCCCCCACACCAGAGGCUUCCUGGAACAACCCCGAGCAAGGGCACACAGCAGGAAGAGGAGACUCCAGGGCAGGGACACAAAUGCUCUCCUAAAGGGCCCAACCCGGGCGAGUCGCACAAAGUGGCAGGGAGGGCAGGGCAUUCCCUCCCCCUCUCCCAACUCUUGGAUGUCAACAUCAAGGCUGGACCAUGGCGAGGGACUCUGGUCUGGGUCCUACCCUCCCCCACUGUAAGCUCCAGCAGGCUGGCCACCCUGGAAAAGGCUCAGGCCUGCUAGACCCCAGCAGGGGCUGAUGGCAAGGGGCUAAGCUAGGGUGCCUGCAAGUCCCACCCAUGCAUACCAAAGGAAAGAGGAGAUAUGCUCCAGAACUUCAGGCCACAGUCUUUGCGGCCCAGAGUUGAAGGACUGGACUUAAAAAUCCACCAUCUAUCCCCAGAUCCUGUUAGGGAUGUGAGAAUAGGGGAGAGAAUACCAGGAAAGAGGUCACAAUCCAACCACGAGCACUGCAAAUCCAUAAGACAGGGGCCCCGGCAGCAGGGGAAGUGACUGCUUCAGUGGAAAGGAAAGCUGCAAGACAGUCUGUGGAGUCACUGCAUAGGCACAAAGGCCCUCUGCAAACCAGAGGGCAGCGGCACAGUGACCUGGCUGGCAUACUGAAACAGGCUCAGCCCAAAGCUCCAACACACAAGACAAGCUAAGCCCCUGAGAAUGCUGUGAGAGCUUCUGGGACAUGAGGCCCUGGGUGCAGCAGCCUCGGGUCUCAGAGGCUUCCCUGUCCCAGCCUGGCGGCCAGAGGUCAGAGCAGCUCGCUCGCCUCGCUAGUGCUGGCAUCACACUCAAAGGUACAGGUGAAAACAUGGUUCUUUCUCAUCAUCAGCCCCAGUCAUGGACCUCGCCUCCUCCACCGGGCUGGUAUGACCUCUGCCUGUAAUCUUUCAGUCCUCCUGCCCAGCCAAGCUACCAAGGUGGGGUGUCCGCCAGAACCACUGGGGCCAGGCAAUAUGAUGACAGCAACAGUCCAGGCUGCAGUAAUGUCUUUUGGAAAGGUCAGCCUGUGGCAGCUAUGCUCAUGGAAACUCAAGGAAGGUGUUUGCAUCCAUGCUUCUACCAGAAGACUAAAAGGAAGCCAUGUCCUCCCACCCAGCCCUCCAGAGUGAAGGGUCUCGCUCUGUCGCUCAGGCUGGAGUGCA